UACGUAGGGACCGAGCGUUGUCCGGAUUCAUUGGGCGUAAAGAGCUCGUAGGCGGCUGUUCAAGUCGAACGUGAAAACUCGGAGCUCAACUCCGAGCCUGCGUUCGAUACUGGACGGCUAGAGUCUGGUAGGGGGAUCUGGAAUUCCUGGUGUAGCGGUGGAAUGCGCAGAUAUCAGGAGGAACACCAAUGGCGAAGGCAGCAGCUCUGGGACGUGACUGACGCGAGACGUGGAAAGCGUGGGGAGCAAACAGG
rnacentral:rRNA from 1 species